AGGACGGGCAGAGCCGGGUAACCCAGCCUCUCUGACCUCGUGGUGUGCAGCUCUCCAGGAAGGGCAGAGCCGGGUAACCCAGCUUCUCUGACCUCACGGUGUGCAGCUCUCCAGGACGGGCAGAGUCAAGUAACCCAGCCUCUCUGACCUUGUGGUGUGCAGCUCUCCAGGACGGGCAGAGCCGGGUAACCCAGCCUCUCUGACCUCACGGUGCCAAACCACCUCCAUCUUCCCAUCAAAGACCUCAAAGCCGUGCCCCCCUCAUCAUUCCACCGGAAGGAAACAGCUCAUGGCAUGAGUUCAGCGCAUGCUAGGGCCUCCACAGGGAUGGCUGAGGGAAGGCAGAGUGGAACAACUGGUGAGUAAGAAGGUGACCUAGACAGACGUGGCUGGGAGGUGAGAAUCUACUUAUCCAAUGUCUCCUGUCUAGAGGAGGGUGUCACGGAUUGCUGAGUGUUGUCCUGGGCAGCACCGUCAGCAUCGGGGAGGCCAUGCCUUUGGAGGAGACUGAGAGGUUUUUUCCUUCCAGGAGUUUUAGGCCAGGCACCACACGACUGCAGCUCAAGGAGGGGCACCCACAGGGGCCGAAGCCCUCAUCAGCAACGAACGGCAGUGGUACACGGUCCACUCUUCCAGGAAAGGUGAACAGUGAGACAGGGGGGUCAACUUCAACCCCACACACGAUCACCACUACUCAGACAGCUCAGGCUUCAAGAUAGGGGUCUGCUCCUGGCCGACAGCUGCACAGCUGAGCACAGAGCCACGGGAGAAACAUCCAUGGGCGUCCCCAUGUGCUAGGACAACCGUGGCUCCUGCUCCUGACCUCCUGCAGCACAGCUCCAGUCUGGUGCCAGGCAUUAAAUCCUUACCCACAUGAUGCUUUAACUGCAGCUGCAAUCUACAUAGCAAAUGCCAAGUGCAGAGAUCAAGGCGAACAGGAGGCCUGGGCACUCGGGGGCUCUUUGAGUAAAUGACAUCUACGCUAAAGUUUAAAGGUGGGCAAGAUGGGAGUACGGCUUCCCCCACGAAGAGAAGAUAGUGAUUCCUGUUGGUGGAAAAGGCAUCUGUGAUGAUCCUGAGCCUGGGAACCUGGCGUGUGGAGAAGCUACAGCCAGCCUGGAUACAGCGUGGACAGCAACAGAAGAUAACGGGAGAGGAGGCAGGAGAGCAGGAACCAGUCCCUGCAAAGGAGGCCAGUCACGCGUUUGGCAAUACGGUAGGGCAGGAAUUUGAACCAGCGCAGGCGGGGACAGCUGAACAUGUUGCAUUAAGGCUAAGACGAGCCACACAGACAGGAAGAGUUCAAGAGUUCUUGAGACCACCAUCCAAGGGCGGGUAGGGAUUUGGUCGUUGGCACAAUGAAUUCAGCUGUUCUUGUCCAGGGGAUUUGCCAAACUCCUGAUCUGAGUGUUCAUCUCAUGGUCUUGGAAGGGAAGGGAAGGGGUUGGUUAUGGGGAAAGAAGACAAAGCCUGGGGCCCAUUCAGGUGGAUGGUCUUAUAGGGGACAGACUGCAGAACGCUGCCACUUCAAAGCGCACAUCUUCCGUAUAAGGUUAAACCCUAGUCCCCCUCCUGCCACUUCCAGAGGCUUUAGGGAAGGUGGCUCAGUGGAGCAGAGGGGUAGGAGUACUGUUCGGAGAGGAUGGAGGCCACAUUCACCACACCUAGGUGGUGCUGGUAGAACCCCAAGUUCAAACUCAGUUUAAAGCAGUUCCAAACUGACAAUGCCCCUAGGGCCUGGCAAUGGCCAAUGCAAAACCUCUCUAGAGACACACAUCCUCUUUGUAGGAAGAUUCUCACCAGUGAUAUCCCACGGCAAACGAGUAGCUCAGAGUUAGAUAUGACUACACUAUGAGCUAGAACAAGUAGAAACCUCAGACAAUAAAAUCAGAACUGCAAACAUCAGGCCUGUGAGGGAUCAGACUUGGAGUCUGAAAUACCUAUACUUAUUAUGUUUAAAGAGAUUUGUUUAAUGACCCAGAAAAUAACUGCAGAGAACAGAAAAGUAUAAAAAAAGAAGCUGAAAGUUAACAAAAGAGAACCCCCAGAAGUGAAAAAUACAGAAUUUAUAAUUUAAAACUUAAUGGGUAGGAUUAGUAGCUGAGCUGACCUUGCUGAUGAGAGAAUUGGUGAACUGGAAGGCAGGUCAGAAGAAAUUGUUUAGAAUGUGGUAGAGAGAGACUAAGGGAUUAGAAAGAAAAGGGUAGAAGACGCAGUGGGCGGGAUGAGAAGUGUUGACACAUUGGGGCGGAUGUUCAGAAAAGACUGGUUUGCAGGACAAACCACACAUCCAGAUCACCAGCUUCCAGAUGGACAGCAGCACAGUAAAUGCCUGACCACACUGUGAAAGCACGGCCUUUCUCUGUCCUGCCAGGGCCUGAGUAAGAGGCCAGCUCUUUAGCACCCCCACUGGUGCUAGUCUCAGUUGGGGCUGACCUGGGUUCUAUGCUCUGUGGGGAGACCCUGUCUUUACACUCAUGGUUCCUCCUGGUGUGAUUCCCAAUAUCCCCUCCUGUGAUGGUUAAUACUGGGUGUCAAUCUGGUUGGAUUGAAGGAUACCAAGUAUUGAUCCUGGCUGUGUCUGUGAGGGUGUUGCCAAGGGAAAUUAACAUUUAAGUCAAUGCGUUGGUAAAGACAGACCCACCCUCAGUCUGGGUAGGCACCAUUUAAUCAGCUGCCAGCACAGCUAAAAUAUAAGCAGGCAGAAAAAUGUGAAGAGAGAAACUGGCUUAGCCUCUCAGCCUUCAUCUUUCUUCCGUGCUGGAUGCUUCCUGCCCUUGAACAUCAGACUCCAAGUGCUUCAGUUUUGGGACUCGAACUGGCUCUCCUUGCUUCUCAGCCUGCAUAUGGCCUAUUGUGGGAGCUUGUGAUUGUGUGAGUUAAUUCUUAAUAAACUCAUAUAUAUACAUAUAUGAGUUUACAUAUUAUAUAUAUUCCAUUAGUUCUGUCCCUCUAGAGAACCGUGACUAAUACAUUCCCCCAUCAUGAUACACACUGAUUGGUUUUUUUGCUCUGUAGCAACGGACUUGUGUCCUCCCCCCUGCAAAAAAACAUGUCUAUAUCCUAACCCUGGUUACCUGGAAAUGUGAGCUUAUUUGGAAAAAUGGUCUUUGCAGAUGUAAUGACAUUAAGGAUCCUGGGAUGAGAUCAUUCUGGACUUAGGGUGGGCUCUAACGCCCUGGCACUGAGCAUUUCUGAUGACAGGUGACCUCUCAAGAAGGGAGAAGUCCAUGGAGGUGCACCUGAGGAGAGCCACGUAAAGACAGAGGCAUAGCCUGGAAUGACGCAGCCACCCAAGGCUGGAAGAGGUGAGGCAGGGGCCUCUCCUGAAGCUUCAGAAGGAACAUGGCCCUGCUCGCACCUACAUUUCAGACUUCUGGUCUCCAGAACUGUGAGAAGAACUUGAGUCCCUGAUUGGGCCCUGGUGGUAUCAUCUAUAGAAAUAAGCAGCAACUGCUAUGAAGAUCCAAUCGCAAACAUCCUGGUGACCUUUCAAGGCAGGACACUUGGCACCUUCUUUGGAAGACGCAUUAGGGAGCGCAGGCACCCCAAGCCUCAUUCGAGAUCACUACUCCACACAGGCUAGGGGAGCUGGUCUCUCUUCCUUCCCCCAAAUUUAAAAUGUGCCAUCCUAUGACCAGCUAACCUUCCCUUGCAAAAUAACACUCUGAAUUUCCAUCUGCCGAAUUCAGACAGGGACUAUGUCCUGCGGCGUAACUUGUAGUUUUCAAAUAUUUGCUAGAUUAUAAAGGAUGAUACUCCAGUAUUUUUAUAUCAUCUAAAUUUUCCCACAUCUUCCCCUGCUAAGGGUGAGUAUUUCUGAUGACAUCUUGAGCAGAUGCAGGAGAAAUAAUUUGGAUACAACAGAGCACAGAUGACAUAUUUCUUUGUAGAACCUCAAACCUUCCGUUUGCCGAAGCUGCAAUAAGCCCCACACCCUCUUUAAGCGUCGUGAAAGAUCUCCAAGUUGUAACAACCAUGCGGGCUGCCAUAUUGAGCCAUUUAACAGUUCAUAUGGUCUUUAAAAUGCAUAUCGUGUGACAGCGGGUCUGAGUUUGUGAAUGACAGCUUUUUAUGAGAACUGCCUUCCAUCCUCCUGAAAGAUACUAUCUUCUCAUCAUUGCAACUUGCUAACAUCUUGAUGGAUCGAGGCAGGGGUGGAAACUGGUGGGAGGGGCAGAGGGGGGUUUGGAGGAUGGUGUUGUUGGUGGGAGUGCUGUCGAGGCGAAAACCUGUGAAUUAUCAGAGUUCACGCAAACCAGAUCGCUCAUCUCUCUGUCCACGGAUAUGGAUACAAAGGGAUGAUCACAACUCUAUCAGGUCGUGGCCCAGAACUGGGUAAAACAAGGACGAGUGUGAAGUGUGAUUUAUCUGCAAACGGUGUCCAUUCAACCAUUGAGGCAGUCAUAAAGGUAUUAAUUUAGCUGCAAACAUUAAAAUGUAUACAGUAAGAUGGAUUUUUUUAACAGUUCAGUGUGGCAUAACCUUAAUGCGGUACAUUAAAAUCAUUCAUUACAAUGAAUAAAUAGCUUAAUGAGAUUUGAAGCAUCGAGCAGUCUCCCCCUAAAUGUCUGAUGAAGUGAAGCAGGCAGUGGCUGUCACUGAGCAUAAAUUAUGCAAAAUAAUACACUCAACACCAUCUCUCCCUAUGCAUCCUUGCUUUUGUUGAAUAUUCAAAGGGACAGCUUCCCAGGACAAUAUCAAAUUAGUCUUUGUAAUAAAAAAGUCUGCAACAAAAUUAUCUACACAAUCCUUAUCUGCAUAACUCUCCAUUUAAACAAAGGCCAGUGACAGGCCGAUAUCUUAUUUGAGUGAUGUGUCUCCACUCUAAGCAAUGCUACCUAGUUUUGAGUCAUUUUUCUUUUUGUUUAACAUUCCUGGAGUUGACACUUCACCUCGAAAACUUGCAGUGGGAAUUUAAACAAAGAACAUUUGAGCACAGGAGCCUUGAGCAGAGUUGGUUAAACCGUGGGAACAGGAAAGAAUGUCCUGGCAAUUUCUCUACUGCUCCUUAGAAAAAUUCUUUGUCGAAUCAGUGCAUUUAAAUGAAGCAUUUCAAAAACCUCCCUCCCCUUCAUUUGUGGAUUUCAGAAAGUGAGAUGGUUAGGCUGGACAAUGGGGGUGGGGCAGAGGAUUUAAAGACCAAAAGCUCCACAGACCACCUCCCUGCAGCCGCUGGCUUGGGAAGAUGAGGUUCUGAAUUUUCUUAAUGACCUUCAGAUUUCCCCACACAGAUUCGGAUGUUGGAUUAACUUCAGUAACUGUAAAAGUCACGGCUCUAACUAUUUCAUCCUGCUUGGUGUCUACAGUGAGAAGUACAGGAUGACUCUGCGUGGCUGUCUGUCAAUUAAGGCGACUCCACGCCGCUGCUGCCCCAUUAGUGACUGUGAGAGCAGAGCAUUCCCAAGACCCCACCGAGGCCCAGCGCCCCACGGCCAAGGCACUCACUCCAAAACCACGUCCAUCCUCUCUAUCUCGUCUUCAGACCCUUCCGAGGAACAGAUCUUGAAAUGGAUUAUGUUUCCACACCCUGGUGUUAGUCCGUUAAGAGGAAUUACACUUACCACUUGUCAGGCAGGCUACGUGCCCCGGUUUCAUUCAUACAGUUUCAUUUAAUUUUCCCAACCACCUACCCAGCAUUCUCACGCUCCCUUUUGCAUAGGUGGAAAACAGAAACCUUAGGCUCAGAAUGGUUGCAAACUUGCUUAAAGUCAAACAGCAAAGAAGGGAGGGUCUCUCUGAGUUACAGCUGAGCCCUCAGUAAAAAAUGGAUGCUUAAUAUCCGUGGACGGGACUGAUGUCGAUGUCUUGGCUGUGAUGACAUCACCUGCAGUCCAUGGAAGGCUACCAUUAGGACAUCAACUGAAGGGAACUUUCUGGGCUAUCUUUGCAACUUCCCCGUGAAUCUAGAAAUACUUCCAAAAAAAAGUUUUAAAAAAUUAUGCUAAAGCAUCCUUCUACAUGGAGUGAGUUGUCUGAUGGCCAAAAUACAUCCAUGUCAAUCCCUGGAACCUAUAAUGUCAUUUUACUUGGAGAAACGGUAUUGACAAGCAGAUGUGAUUAGUAAUUUUGAGAUAAAGAAAUCAUUCUGGAUUAUCUGAUUGGGCCCUAAACCCAAUGACAGGUAUCCCUAUGAAAGACACAAAGUGAGACGCA